UGUGGGAGCGAGCUUGCUCGCGAUGACGGUGUAUCAGUGCCAGAAAUGUUGACUGGCACGUCGCUAUCGCGAGCAAGCUCGCUCCCACA
rnacentral:ncRNA from 3 species